rnacentral:misc_RNA from 1 species
GAUGAAGACGUAGCGAAAUGCGAUAAGUAGUGUGAAUUGCAGAAUUCAGUGAAUCAUCGAAUCUUUGAACGCACAUUGCGCCCCUUGGUAUUCCAUGGGGCAUGCCUGUUCGAGCGUCAUUUGUACCUUCAAGCUCUGCUUGGUGUUGGGUGUUUUGUCUCGCCUCUGCGUGUAGACUCGCCUUAAAACAAUUGGCAGCCGGCGUAUUGAUUUCGGAGCGCAGUACAUCUCGCGCUUUGCACUCAUAACGGCGACGUCCAAAAGUACAUUUUUACACUCUUGACCUCGGAUCAGGUAGGGAUACCCGCUGAACUUAAGCAUAUCAAUAGCGGAGGA